rnacentral:misc_RNA from 1 species
UUCAGCAUAUAGCAUUUCAUUCUGGCAGAAUUUGAAUCAUGUUAGUAUACCUAGAGGAAAAUAACAAUCUGGCAGUAUUGAUUCUCGAUGACAUAGAGAAUCACACAGUCCACAGCUGUAAUAUAAACAAUACCUUUUUGGACCUAACUCUGCUGAUUCCUUUCUCCAAUCUGCCUUCCAAGCUCUUAAGUUCCUUAAAGGUCAAGGUGCUAAGUGCCUCACCCAGAAUAUGCCUAUUUAAAUUUUGAAUUUCCCGAAUUUGCCUGCGUAGUUUGGAGGAUUCUUGUUGGUAGAACUGAGGUCAUGUUCAUGCAGCAAUAGUUAAUCUCAUUGAAUUGAACACCAAAUAAGGUCAUUGUUUCAGUGAACUUGUGAAAGGACGGGUACGUGGAUUCAUAUAGUUGAUAAUUGUUUUCUAUAUCAGAGAAAUUCUUAUGCAAGUGCUUGACCACUAGACUACUAACCAAUGGCUUCAUAUGCAGCUAAUAUGAGAAAGUAGAAUACAAGCGGGAGGUCAAUAAAUCCAAGAAGAAUUACGAAAGGAAUUACACUACCAUGUGGGUUAAAUUCAUCUCUUGAAGUAAAAUGAACAGGAAAAACAAUGGUGAAGAGUUUACUGAAAAUUCAGGUCAUGCGUUAGUCAUAAUUCAGAUAGUUUGCAAACCAAAAAAUAUUGAUUUUAUCCAGUGCCUCAGAAUGAACAAAAUCUCUCCUCUCUCAACUACUCAUAUCAUUUAUUCAGAAGCAUGCUCUCAUUAUUAACAUAUGGUAUCAUUGCUUCAAUUAAGACUCCUAAAUCCGAUGCUAUAGUUGCUUGAAAUAAAUGAAUAAAUAAAUAA